rnacentral:rRNA from 1 species
GAUGAACGCUGGCGGCGUGCCUAAUACAUGCAAGUCGAGCGAACGGACGAGAAGCUUGCUUCUCUGAUGUUAGCGGCGGACGGGUGAGUAACACGUGGAUAACCUACCUAUAAGACUGGGAUAACUUCGGGAAACCGGAGCUAAUACCGGAUGAUAUUUUGAACCGCAUGGUUCAAAAGUGAAAGACGUUCUUUCUGUCACUUAUAGAUGGAUCCGCGCUGCAUUAGCUAGUUGGUAAGGUAACGGCUUACCAAGGCAACGAUGCAUAGCCGACCUGAGAGGGUGAUCGGCCACACUGGAACUGAGACACGGUCCAGACUCCUACGGGAGGCAGCAGUAGGGAAUCUUCCGCAAUGGGCGAAAGCCUGACGGAGCAACGCCGCGUGAGUGAUGAAGGUCUUCGGAUCGUAAAACUCUGUUAUUAGGGAAGAACAUAUGUGUAAGUAACUGUGCACAUCUUGACGGUACCUAAUCAGAAAGCAACGGCUAACUACGUG